GGAGGAAGAGGCCUGCGUGCACUCGGAGGGGGCCUGAAUGCAGACCACCCACCAGAGACACUCAGGCAGUCUCCCGGGGACCCCUGGAUUCUGGGCCUCUGGGUUUGACCAGGCGUUGAGUGCAGGAAAAUGUGUGACCCCGUAAGUGUCUGUUGGUGUCUGAGUCAUCCCCAGGACUAGGCCAAUGUCCAGUUUGUGCUGAUACAGUGGGUGGUGGUGGCCCUUGGUCAGUGUCCUGCCCACCUCUAGGCUGGAGGGGAGAUGGAUGAGGAGGAAAGUCAUUGGACACCCUUGGGGAGGACUGCGGCACCCGACACAAACCAGCUACUCGGUCCCCAAGCCUCAGGGGGGAAGCAGAGGCACAGAGAGGUUAAGCAGCAGCCAGCAAGAGGCAGCAGCUCCGUCCAGCCCCACAGCGCCCAGGUGUGCCCUUGCCAGGCAGUGAGUCCUGCUCCCCUCCCGGGCAGGUGCCCUAAAGUGUUUCUGACACCUUUCUGGAGGGGUCAGUCCCUGGGCUGGAGCCCUGUCCCUCCCUGGCCCCUGCACCCUCUCCAGCACCAUCCUGCCCUGCUCACUCUCUGGGCACCUGUGUUGGCAAGCCUGGGGCCCUCACUGCCCCUGGGAGCCCAUGCAUGGCCACCUCCUCAGCAGGGGGUGCUGCCUGGCAGGGCCUGCGUCUGUCCCGAAGGCCACUGGAACCUUACUGUUGGGCUCUGUACCUGAAGGUGUGUGAGUGUGUGUCCCCACAUGGUCACCCAGACUCUGGGACGGUGACAGCCAGGGCCAGGCGGGCGAAGGUGAGCAGAGGCCCAGGUCUCCUCCGAGUGCCUGGUGGUGGCCUGGGGGCCUUGGGAAGCAGCUGUGGCGAGGGAAGCAGGGCAGAGGGCACGGGAGGCAGGACGGCUGUGGGGACAGGGCAGGAAGAGGAAGAGGAGGGCCUGGGAGGAGGGAAGGAAGGAGAGGAGAGCUGAGGGCUCCGAGGGAAAGCAGGGGAGGGUGGCC
rnacentral:lncRNA from 1 species